rnacentral:rRNA from 1 species
UUUCUUUUAUGGAGAGUUUGAUCCUGGCUCAGGACGAACGCUGGCGGCGUGCCUAAUACAUGCAAGUCG